CUGCUUGCUCUAAGAGCUGCUGAUACUCCUGGGAAGGAAGCUCCAUGGGCCCUGGGAAUGGGGCUGGUGGUAGGCGAGAAAAGAGAAGAGGUCACCAAACACAGAGACAGUUGAUGAGUAAGAAAGAGUGAAGAACUUCAGAUGACCCUGGGCUGAAGAGACACAGCAUAAAGGUGGUAGGCAUGAGUGUUGAGUUGAAGUGGAACUCCUGCCCAUCAUUGCAUUUUCAGGCCCCAAUGCCCACCAAGGGUCCUAUCAAGCCUUCCUGUGUCCGUCAUGGAAAUCAGUGCAUGCAGGUGUCACAACAGGGAAUGUGCAUUGGACAGAUACUAUAUCUUACAAGCGUCAGCUGAAGAGGACAUGGAAGGAAAUCAGGACACACAGUUUUCUCCAUAAAUAAAGUUGGUUCUUCUGAAGAGCUUAUGACUGGCCAAAGUGCAGAGCAUAAGUGACUGUGGAGUGUCCCACUUCCAAUGGGACCUCUACGUCACUCCCCUCCCCUCAAAGAUGCAGGAACGUUGUGAGAAGAGGCAUCAGGACAGCGUCUUCUGGACAGAACAUGGCUGGUGAACUCUGAACUCAGAGCAGCUGCUGUUGCCUGCCCACAAGCCCAAGCCAGUCAGCAGAGGGGUUCCUGAGGCCCUACUUCUAGUUGUGGAGAUUUUGGAAGUUGUUGAGUUUUUUUCAGGGGUAUG
rnacentral:lncRNA from 1 species